AUUGCCUUGUGUUCCUCCCAGCUGCAGGAAGGCGUGGGAAUGAUUCCCCAUGUGAAUGAGCACUGGUGGAACUUCCCAGAUCAUUGCUUAGAGCUCCUUUAAUUCUUUCCUUGGUGCUGCAAGGGAUUUUUCUUUUUUUGUGGAAAGUGUCAAUGCUUGUCUUUCAAAAGCACCACCCCCACGCCUGCCACCCCCCAAGAAAAAGUAAAAAGAGGACUUGAAAACCAAGUGCCAUCCUGCCCAUUUGCACACCCAUGCAGAGAGGAGUCAGGAACUGCUAAUGAACGUACCAACUGUGUAUGAAAAAUCAGCCAAGCUCAGGCUUUGGGCUUUCAUUUCUCUGCUGAGAUCCUGACUCUAGACUGCCUGUGAGAAACAUGAGCAUGGCUUCAACCACAAUGUGAACAGAGAGCAAGACUAAUAAAAGUGAGGUUCUCCUGGAAUAUGAGUUAAAAAUGAGCACUGUCUUGGAGCAAGCCAAUUGUAUCCCAUUAUUAUUUCCUGACUUGGUCUGGUAACAUCUUAAAAUACAAGCAAAACUACCUUCUUCUUUUUAGGACCUAUGACCUUUUAAAUCUUGCUUUCCAAGAUUUAAGAACUGGCAAGUAUGGUUACUUUUUAGAAUAAGUUUCCUAUUCUUUCCUCACUUCGUCUCGCCUCCCUCCCUUCUUUCCCUUUUUCCUCCCUUCUUUUUAAUACAAUAAACUACCUAGCUAUUUUUGACUGAAAUGGAUCAAAAUCCGGAUGAGUGCAAUCUUGAGUAUGUCUAGAGACAUGUGCGUCUAGAGUAUGUCUAGAGACAAGCUGCACCCUUUGUGCAGCUUUUCUGCGCAUUCAUGUCUAUCAUAAUAAUAAUAGCUACUAUUUAUUGAGCAUUCAGUAUGCACCGAGCAUUGUGCUAUGAGCUCUGCAUAUAUUACCACAUUUAAUGCAAUUAUUAAAACUGAAGAAAAGUGGAACUUCUCCUUUCUGUAUUUCAGUAAUUCUUCAUUAAUAUUCCUUCAUAGAUAUGCCACUAUACCUAGCCCAAGCCCAGAUGAUGACUACUGCCAAGGAUAAGGUUGUUUCAAUGUGUAAAUAUUAUUUGUAUUCUAGAGGCAAGUGGGAGAUGUCGUCUUCAAAGCAGUAAAUCUGUGCUCACUUUCUGGAAGUUUGCUCCCAAGGGACUUGAAUGUCUUAAAGUGAAUUAAAUUAUUUGCUUCCAAAGCUUGGUCUUGGGCAAGCUAUUCAAUCUCUUGUGUGUGAAUUUCCUCAACUUUAAAAUGAGACUUAAUGGGUGUAUAUGAGGGACUUAGAACAGUACAUGGCAUAUUAAUUGCUCAGUGAACGUUAGCUAUUAUCAUUGUCAUUGUUAAAUUAUCACAACACUCUGAAGAAGGCAUUAUCAUCCCCAUUUUACAGAUGAGGAAACUGAGGCAAAAAGAAUUCAAUAACUUGCCCAAGGUCACAUAGCAGUCAGUGAGGGAGGUGAUGAUUCUCACCCUAGGUUACUCUCAGUUCAGAAUCUACAAGUAAAAUAUGAUUUUACCUCUCACUAUAGAAAGUGAUAUGUGGUCAUGGCUGUAUAGAAAACUUCUUUCUCCUAUAGGAAACCUGAGCUAUAAAGUAGACAUAAAAUGUCCUGAAGACUGGAAACGUGUCACAUGAGAAGCAUUUUCGAUCCCUCUGGUAGAGAAGGAGUGCUUAAUUACCAUGUGCCACUGCUGUUAACCUUUGCAAAUAAGUCUAAUUAUCACAGAUUAAUGAACAGAGCUUAGGCACAUCUAAAGGGGCUUUGCUGAGGGGUUUUCAUUUCUGCAUUUCAUUAGCUCCAUAAACGCUGUUGUUCCCCAUGCACACGGUUAUAGGACUUUUAUUAUUUUUUUAGCUGCGCUCUGUGAAAUAUCAACAACAGAGCCUGCGAAAUAGCUCAGGGCAGGGAUCGCUUUCCAGGAAAUCUUUAGGAAGCCUGUAAGUUGGGUGGCUGCUGCUUCACUGUUUACUGAUGAAUCAUGCCACAUUGGUUUAUAGGGAAUAAAGCCUUAGACAGUCGCCAAGGAAACAGGCUGAGAUUUUGGAAAUAUCUGAAACCACAGAAAAAAUUUCCAGAAAAAAAUCAAUGUCUUAGUCAAGAGUCAGGUUAACCUUAUCUGCAUCAAGAAACCAUGUUUGCUAUACUCAUCCUGGAAAGUGGCCAUCCUGCUGGUCCUUAGAGCAGGCUGUGCCUGGGAGCCAUCUUUGAAUAUCCUCUGAGCUCAGAGGGAGAGACAUACCUCUAGUGAGGAUCCUGGAAACCUCCGUGUGACAUUGUGGCAAGAGAGCAAGCUGGUAGUUCGCAAAGGGCUGCCGCCAUUCAGAGGCUGGGACCUCAGGAAGAUCUUUGGCACAAUCUACUAGACACGUUUCAUUAAUAAAUGAUUAGAUUUGCAAAUCUUGUCAGUAGAGAUUGCUAUCACAGAAUUAAUGAAAUAAAUAAUGAAACAUUUCCAGUGUUUCUGGCUGGCUUUCAGAGCAGAGUAGAUCUCUGCCUUUGUUGCAAUUUAUGGCUGUCUCUUUGAUCAACUCCUGGGGAGUUCAAGGAAUGAUUUUCCUGCUUCCAACACACGCCUUCGGCUUUUAGGUUUGCCUUUUUUUUUUUUUAACUUGACUUUUCAUAUCAUUUUGAGCUUCAAACACAAAGGUUCCCCAGGAUAAUUUCAGAUAAAGAAACCCAGCAGAGUGAAUAAUCUGCAGUAAAGAAAAUCUGAAUUGUACUUUGAGAAACAACCCAUUUGAUGCUGGGUUAGGGAAGGGGUACGGGAGGGAUUUUGCUCACAAAUGAACACAAAAAACGUUCAUGAUUUUAUUCAAAUGUCUCCAUUCUGCACAGCCUAAAGCUGAGAGCAUUUCCUGAUCCAGAAGCAAACCAAGAUGCCACCCAGUGUGGAUUACCCAGCAGGCAGACAAAGCAUAUGUUCAGGACAUUAGCAAUGCCAGGUGGCUGACAUUUCUUUUGUUCAAAAAGAAGAAACAAGAUUUUUCAUAUCUCAAAAAAAAAAGUGUCAAAAUAGUCAUGGAGAAAUCAGAAUGUUGUUGGAGAAAUAAAAGCUCAUUUUCUGA